UUGAGAAGUCGAUAUCAUACUGUAUGUAUAUAGAGAAAGCUUUAGGAUAUGUUUUCUAGACAGUUGUGUUUGACAUAAUAUGUGAUUUUAUUUUCUUGACUCUUUCUUCAAACGAUUCAAAUACGAUUGAAAAUAAAAAUGGGAUUCAAGUUUAGCAAAGGCCCAAUUAGUAUUCAGGAAAUUAAGGAAUCGAGGCUCCUAUCUCUGAGAGACAUUCAGAAAUGGGAAGAAGAAUUUUUGGUCCGCAGCCGAGGGAAGAAUUACUUCACAGAAAGCGAGUUUGUGCAGACGUACCGACAGACAUUUACAAGCGGAGACGCAAAGACGUUUGCGAGAAACGUGUUUCGUGUCAUGGACCUGGACGGGAACGGUUCCAUCGAUCUGAGAGAGUUCGUACUAGGAAUGAGUAGCAUUACGGGUGAUGACGUCCAUAAAAAGAUUGAGUGGGCGUUCCGUGUUUAUGACGUCAAUGGGGAUGGUGUUAUUAGCCCGAAGGAAUUUAAGAAAAUUGUGAGGGCAAUAUUUAAGAUGCAUGGACGCGGGGUUUCUAGCAAAGAACAUAUAGACAGACUGUGUUCAGAUUUGAUGCGAUCAAUGGACGCUGAUCGAGAUGGGACAAUAACUCUACAGGAAUUCAGAGAAGGCUGUCGCAAACACAAAUUUUUACUAAAUGCUUUAAAAGUUUGAUUAGAUAUUGCGACAGUUGGAGAGUGUGGUGUACAAAAUGAAUAUGGUGAUACCAAUUGAUCUUGAAAAUGAAUUGAUAUUGAUAUAAAAAGUGACCCAUAAAGAUCUAAAUAUGGCCGCCGAAAAGAUCUCCAAAGAAGCUUUUAUGUGAAAUUAUCUAAAUUGUCGGGUUGGAAAGAUGUACAUAUAAUGACAAGGCACCACGCUAAUAUAUUUUUAGUUCUUAGAAAUGGUGACAUCGUUGAAAUGAUCUACUGUCUGUUCCAGGAGAUACUCAGACUCUAAUAUGGUUUAUGGUGACACCGAGUAUAUCGUUGAAAUGAUCUAAUGACAUUGAAAUUGUGUAAAUAGUGACGUUAAAAUCGUUGAAAUGAUCUAAUGACGUUGAAAAUGUUUAAAUUCUGACGUUAAAAUCGUUGAAAUGAUCUAAUGAUAUUGAAAUUGUGUAAAUAGUGACGUUAAUAUCGUUGAAAUGAUCAAAUAACGUUGAAAUUGUGUAAAUAGUGACGUUAAUAUCGUUUAUGGUGACACAGGCUAAUUACGGUAAUUUGGCGUAAUCGGUUCGGAAAUCGGUGUCGAUAAAUUCGUUGAUUAGGGUAAUCGAUUUAAAUUAGAUGGACGUUAAAGAUGAAAAUUUGAUUUAAUGCAAAUCAGUGAUCGAUAAAAAACACCCCCGUGUCUGUGAUAAUGUAUGUAAAUUUAUUCUAGAGAAACUGAAAGUGGAUAUCAUAAUAAAAAUUGUUUGUUUU